rnacentral:rRNA from 1 species
AUUGAACGCUAGCGGGAUGCUUUACACAUGCAAGUCGAACGAGUGGCGGACGGGUGAGUAAUAUCUCGGAACGUGCCCCGUAUCGGGGGAUAACUACUCGACACAGUGGCUAAUACCGCAUACUCUUGGAGCGGCCGAUAUCGGAUUGGCUAGUUGGUGGGGGAAAGGCUGACCAAGGCAACGAUCCGUAGCUGGUUUGAGAGGACGACCAGCCACACUGGGACAGAGACACGGCCCAGACUCCUACGGGAGGAAGCAGGGGGGAAUUUGGGACAAUGGGGGAAACCCUGAUCCAGCCAUCCCGCGUGUAUGAGAAGGCCUUCGGGUUGUAAAGUACUUUUGGCAGAGAAGCGGUAUCUGCAGAAUAAGCACCGGCUAACUACGUGCCAGCAGCCGCGGUAAUUC